CAAUUCUAGAGCUAAUACAUGCAGCAGAGCUCCGACCCUCGGGAACGAGCGCUUUUAUUAGACCAAGACCCAUCGGACCUCGCGUCCGUCUCAUGUGGUGACUCUGAAUAACUUUGGGCAGAUCGCACGGGCCCGUCCCGGCGACGUAUCUUUCAAGUGUCUGCCUUAUCAACUUUCGAUGGUAGGUUACGCGCCUACCAUGGUCGUAACGGGUGACGGGGAAUCAGGGUUCGAUUCCGGAGAGGGAGCCUGAGAAACGGCUACCACAUCCAAGGAAGGCAGCAGGCGCGCAAAUUACCCACUCCCGGAACGGGGAGGUAGUGACGAAAAAUAACAAUACGGGACUCUUUCGAGACCCCGUAAUUGGAAUGGGCACACUCUAAAUCCUUGUACGAGGAUCCAUUGGAGGGCAAGUCUGGUGCCAGCCGCCGCGGUAACUCCAGCUCCAAUAGCGUAUACUAAAGUUGUUGCGGUUAAAAAGCUCGUAGUUGGAUCUCAGUUCCAGGCGGGCGGCGCCGCCUACCGGCGGCCGCUGCCCGUUCUGAACAGCCCGCCGGUUUCCCUCGAUGAUCUUUACCGGUUGUCUUGGGGUGACCGGCAAGUUUACUUUUGAAAAAAUUAGAGUGCUCAAAGCAGGCGCGACGCCUGAAUAAUGGUGCAUGGAAUAAUGGAAUAAGGACCUCGGGUUCUAUUUUUGUUGGUCCUCCGGAGCACGAGGUUAUUGAUCAAGAGGAACAGACGGGGGCAUUCGUAAUUGCCGACGU
rnacentral:rRNA from 1 species